UAGUGGCGAACGGGUGAGUAACACGUGGGCAAUCUGCCCUUCACUCUGGGACAAGCCCUGGAAACGGGGUCUAAUACCGGAUAACACUGCGGAUCGCAUGGUCUGNGGUUAAAAGCUCCGGCGGUGAAGGAUGAGCCCGCGGCCUAUCAGCUUGUUGGUGAGGUAGUGGCUCACCAAGGCGACGACGGGUAGCCGGCCUGAGAGGGCGACCGGCCACACUGGGACUGAGACACGGCCCAGACUCCUACGGGAGGCAGCAGUGGGGAAUAUUGCACAAUGGGCGAAAGCCUGAUGCAGCGACGCCGCGUGAGGGAUGACGGCCUUCGGGUUGUAAACCUCUUUCAGCAGGGAAGAAGCGAAAGUGACGGUACCUGCAGAAGAAGCGCCGGCUAACUACGUGCCAGCAGCCGCGGUAAUACGUAGGGCGCAAGCGUUGUCCGGAAUUAUUGGGCGUAAAGAGCUCGUAGGCGGCUUGUCACGUCGAUUGUGAAAGCCCGAGGCUUAACCUCGGGUCUGCAGUCGAUACGGGCUAGCUAGAGUGUGGUAGGGGAGAUC
rnacentral:rRNA from 1 species